rnacentral:rRNA from 1 species
CGAAAGCCUGACGGAGCAAUACCGCGUGAGGGAUGACGGCCUAUGGGUUGUAAACCUCUUUUUUCAGGGAGGAAUCAAUGACGUGUACCUGAAGAAUAAGCAUCGGCUAACUCCGUGCCAGCAGCCGCGGUAAGACGGAGGAUGCAAGUGUUAUCCGGAAUCACUGGGCGUAAAGCGUCUGUAGGUGGUCAAAUAAGUCAACUGUUAAAUCUUGAGGCUCAACCUCAAAAUCGCAGUCGAAACUAUUAGACUAGAGUAUAGUAGGGGUAAAGGGAAUUUCCAGUGGAGCGGUGAAAUGCGUAGAGAUUGGAAGGAACACCGAUGGCGAAGGCACUUUACUGGGCUAUUACUAACACUCAGAGACGAAAGCUAGGGURGCA